rnacentral:lncRNA from 1 species
CAGGCUCUUUACUUGUUCAAUCAAACCACAAUUAUUGUUCUCCCUGAUGAUUUAGAACGCAAACCGAUCGAGCUAUGAAUCUAUGAUGGACAAUUAAUAACACGGGACAUAAUUUUAAAAGAAAAAAAGCAAAACCAAUCAAUUUCUCAAUAUAAACCAAAAAGAAAAAAAAACGUUUUCUUUUCAAGAAAGUCCCGCAAGAACAUGGACACAGCAGAAAAAACUGAGGGAAAGAAAAGGGAGAGAUCUUGGAUUCUUGAUGAACAAGGAAAAGUUAUCAAAAAGCCCGCCUAUGGUAAGAAAAAUCGUUGACUUUCCAAGCGAAGGCGACUUAGUUGCUGUUGGCUGCGCCACAUCAAAAAACCCCAACUUUCAAGAACUCCAUACCAGAAAUCCACACAGAGAACAUCAAGAACCAGAUCUCAGAUAUCAAAAACCAAGAACAGAACCAAAACCUAAAU